rnacentral:tRNA from 1 species
AGUUAAUUAGUAUAAUAAAAAUCAUUGUUUUGAAAACAAUUGUUAGAGGUUUAAAUCCCCUAUUAACUU